GACGAACGCUGGCGGCGUGCUUAACACAUGCAAGUCGAACGGAAAGGCCCUGCUUUUGUGGGGUGCUCGAGUGGCGAACGGGUGAGUAACACGUGAGUAACCUGCCCUUGACUGGGGGAUAACUUCAGGAAACUGGGGCUAAUACCGGAUAUGAGCUCCUGCUGCAUGGUGGGGGUUGGAAAGUUUCGGCGGUUGGGGAUGGACUCGCGGCUUAUCAGCUUGUUGGUGGGGUAGUGGCUUACCAAGGCUUUGACGGGUAGCCGGCCUGAGAGGGUGACCGGCCACAUUGGGACUGAGAUACGGCCCAGACUCCUACGGGAGGCAGCAGUGGGGAAUCUUGCACAAUGGGCGGAAGCCUGAUGCAGCAACGCCGCGUGCGGGAUGACGGCCUUCGGGUUGUAAACCGCUUUCGCCUGUGACGAAGCGUGAGUGACGGUAAUGGGUAAAGAAGCCCCGGCUAACUACGUG
rnacentral:rRNA from 1 species